GACGAACGCUGGCGGCGUGGAUAAGGCAUGCAAGUCGAACGGGAAGGGGAUUCAAGCAAUUGUGUCCCCUGAGAGUGGCGAACGGGUGAGUAACACGUGGGUAACAUACCUCCGGGUGGGGGAUAACUCAGGGAAACCUGAGCUAAUACCGCAUACGGUCAGACUGCUCAUGGCAGACUGAUCAAAGGUGGGGAUCCUUCGGGACCUGCCGCCUGGAGAUUGGCCGCGGCCCAUUAGCUUGUUGGCGGGGUAACGGCCCACCAAGGCGACGAUGGGUAGCCGGCCUGAGAGGGUGUCCGGCCACACUGGGAUUGAGAUACGGCCCAGACUCCUUCGGGAGGCAGCAGUCGAGAAUCUUCCCCAAUGGACGAAAGUCUGAGGGAGCGACGCCGCGUGAGGGAUGAAGGCCCUUUGGGUUGUAAACCUCUGUUAGGGGGAAAGAACAGCAGUGGAAGCAACAUGUCCAUUGCCUGACGUUACCCCCAGAGAAAGCUCCGGCCAACUCCGUG
rnacentral:rRNA from 1 species